rnacentral:rRNA from 1 species
AUGAAGUUUUCGGAUGGAUUUAAACAGCUUAGUGGCGGACGGGUGAGUAACGCGUGGGUAACCUGCCUCACACUGGGGGAUAACAGUUAGAAAUAGCUGCUAAUACCGCAUAAGCGCACGGUUCCGCAUGGAACAGUGUGAAAAACUCCGGUGGUGUGAGAUGGACCCGCGUCUGAUUAGCCAGUUGGUGAGGUAAGGGCUCACCAAGGCAACGAUCAGUAGCCGGCCUGAGAGGUUGAACGGCCACAUUGGGACUGAGAUACGGCCCAGACUCC